rnacentral:rRNA from 1 species
UCGAGCGAGAAGACGUAGCAAUACGUUUGUAAAGCGGCGAACGGGUGAGGAAUACAUGGGUAACCUACCCUCGAGUGGGGAAUAACUAGCCGAAAGGUUAGCUAAUACCGCAUACGACUCUUGGUCUGCGGAUCGAGAGGGAAAGCGAUACCGUGGGUAUCGCGCUCAUGGAUGGGCUCAUGUCCUAUCAGCUUGCUGGUGAGGUAACGGCUCACCAAGGCUUCGACGGGUAGCUGGUCUGAGAGGACGAUCAGCCACACUGGCACUGCGACACGGGCCAGACUCCUACGGGAGGCAGCAGUAAGGAAUAUUGCGCAAUGGGCGACAGCCUGACGCAGCGACGCCGCGUGGGGGAUGAAGGUCUUCGGAUUGUAAACCCCUUUCAGCAGGGAAGAUGGAACGGGUAACCGUUCGGACGGUACCUGCAGAAGCAGCCACGGCUAACUUCGUGCCAGCAGCCGCGGUAAUACGAAGGUGGCAAGCGUUGUUCGGAUUUACUGGGCGUACAGGGAGCGUAGGCGGUUGGGUAAGCCCUCCGUGAAAUCUCCGGGCCUAACCCGGAAAGUGCGGAGGGGACUGCUCGGCUAGAGGAUGGGAGAGGAGCGCGGAAUUCCCGGUGUAGCGGUGAAAUGCGUAGAGAUCGGGAGGAAGGCCGGUGGCGAAGGCGGCGCUCUGGAACAUAUCUGACGCUGAGGCUCGA